rnacentral:rRNA from 1 species
CCUACGGGCGGCAGCAGUGGGGGAUAUUGCACAAUGGGGGGAACCCUGAUGCAGCGACGCCGCGUGGGUGAAGAAGCGCCUCGGCGCGUAAAGCCCUGUCAGCAGGGGAGAAAAUGACGGUACCUGAAGAAGAAGCACCGGCUAACUACGUGCCAGCAGCCGCGGUAAUACGUAGGGGGCAAGCGUUAUCCGGAUUUACUGGGUGGAAAGGGGGCGCAGACGGCGAUGCAAGCCAGGAGUGAAAGCCCGGGGCCCAACCCCGGGACUGCUCUUGGAACUGCGUGGCUGGAGUGCAGGAGGGGCAGGCGGAAUUCCUGGUGUAGCGGUGAAAUGCGUAGAUAUCAGGAGGAACACCGGUGGCGAAGGCGGCCUGCUGGACUGCAACUGACGUUGAGGCCCGAAAGCGUGGGGAGCAAACAGGAUUAGAUACCCCAGUAGUC